AUGUUUCUAAUGUUUUGUGCACUUAAGUGGGCUCCUGAGUGGUGCAGCGGUCUUAGGCACUGCAUCUCAGUGCAAGAAGUGCAAGUACAGAAGUAUAUGGAUGUUGUUAUUAUACUCCCCUACAGAAGUAUAUGGAUGUUGUUAUUAUACUCCCCUACAGAACUAUAUGGAUGUUGUUAUUAUACUCCCCUACAGAAGUAUUUGGAUGUUGUUAUUGCACUCCCCUACAGAAGUAUUUGGAUGUUGUUAUUGCCCUACAGAAGUAUAUGGAUGUUGUUAUUACACUCCCCUACAGAAGUAUAUGGAUGUUGUUAUUACACUCCCCUACAGAAGUAUUUGGAUGUUGUUAUUACACUCCCCUCCAGAAGUAUUUGGAUGUUGUUAUUACACUCCCCUACAGAAGUAUUUGGAUGUUGUUAUUGCACUCCCCUACAGAACUAUAUGGAUGUUGUUAUUGCCCUCCCCUACAGAACUAUAUGGAUGUUGUUAUUACACUCCCCUACAGAAGUAUAUGGAUGUUGUUAUUACACUCCCCUACAGAAGUAUUUGGAUGUUGUUAUUAUACUCCCCUACAGAAGUAUAUGGAUGUUGUUAUUAUACUCCCCUACAGAAGUAUAUGGAUGUUGUUAUUAUACUCCCCUACAGAAGUAUUUGGAUGUUGUUAUUGCCCUACAGAAGUAUAUGGAUGUUGUUAUUACACUCCCCUACAGAAGUAUAUGGAUGUUGUUAUUAUACUCCCCUACAGAAGUAUAUGGAUGUUGUUAUUAUACUCCCCUACAGAACUAUAUGGAUGUUGUUAUUAUACUCCCCUACAGAAGUAUUUGGAUGUUGUUAUUGCACUCCCCUACAGAAGUAUUUGGAUGUUGUUAUUGCCCUACAGAAGUAUAUGGAUGUUGUUAUUACACUCCCCUACAGAAGUAUAUGGAUGUUGUUAUUACACUCCCCUACAGAAGUAUUUGGAUGUUGUUAUUACACUCCCCUCCAGAAGUAUUUGGAUGUUGUUAUUACACUCCCCUACAGAAGUAUUUGGAUGUUGUUAUUGCACUCCCCUACAGAACUAUAUGGAUGUUGUUAUUGCCCUCCCCUACAGAACUAUAUGGAUGUUGUUAUUACACUCCCCUACAGAAGUAUAUGGAUGUUGUUAUUACACUCCCCUACAGAAGUAUUUGGAUGUUGUUAUUAUACUCCCCUACAGAAGUAUAUGGAUGUUGUUAUUAUACUCCCCUACAGAAGUAUAUGGAUGUUGUUAUUAUACUCCCCUACAGAAGUAUUUGGAUGUUGUUAUUGCCCUACAGAAGUAUAUGGAUGUUGUUAUUACACUCCCCUACAGAAGUAUUUGGAUGUUGUUAUUGCCCUACCCUACAGAACUAUAUGGAUGUUGUUAUUAUACUCCCCUACAGAAGUAUUUGGAUGUUGUUAUUGCACUCCCCUACAGAAGUAUUUGGAUGUUGUUAUUGCCCUACAGAAGUAUAUGGAUGUUGUUAUUACACUCCCCUACAGAACUAUAUGGAUGUUGUUAUUAUACUCCCCUACAGAAGUAUAUGGAUGUUGUUAUUACACUCCCUUACAGAAGUAUAUGGAUGUUGUUAUUACACUCCCCUACAGAAGUAUAUGGAUGUUGUUAUUAUACUCCCCUACAGAACUAUAUGGAUGUUGUUAUUAUACUCCCCUACAGAAGUAUAUGGAUGUUGUUAUUACACUCCCCUACAUAAGUAUUUGGAUGUUGUUAUUACACUCCCCUACAGAAGUAUAUGGAUGUUGUUAUUACACUCCCCUACAGAAGUAUUUGGAUGUUGUUAUUGCACUCCCCUACAGAAGUAUUUUGAUGUUGUUAUUGCCCUACAGAAGUAUUUGGAUGUUGUUAUUACACUCCCCUACAGAAGUAUAUGGAUGUUGUUAUUACACUCCCCUACAGAAGUAUUUGGAUGUUGUUAUUGCACUCCCCUACAGAAGUAUUUGGACAGUGAUGCUAAAAUGUUGAAUUAG
rnacentral:lncRNA from 1 species